UGAGGGGCGGGGCUGAGCAGCCAGCGAAGGAGCUGACUGCGCAAGUGCGGCUGCGGCGCUGGCUGGAAGCGCUGCGUUGCGUUUCGCUGCGCUGGCGCCGCCGCUGCUGUGGAGGUUCUGUGUGCAGUUGAAGUCUCUCUGUGCGCGCUCGGAAAUCCCUUUAAAGUUUCUUUUUAAUAAACUGCAAAGGAAUAUUACUCCUAAAUUAGCAGGAGACUGUGAGGACUGGCCUUCUCAUAGAUUUACUAUGCUCCAAGUGGAUGAUCUGAGAAUAGGACCCAGAAAGUCAGUGCCAAACCUCUCUUCUCCAGAAAAUUAACUCUGCACACCUCUAGCCCACUAGCACCUUCCCAGCCAGGAUUUAUCUCUACUAUACUUUGAAGAAUCACGCCAUGCAGGAUACUCAGCACCAUGCCUCUGUGAGUCCUCUGGAAGAAUGGAAGCUUUCCUUCCCAUGGGGUCAUUAGGAGAACUGUAAAGUUUCAGAAGAACAAAAGCAUACCCUCUGACGCGUACUUCAUGCCUGCUAAAAGGAAAAAGAGCCGACAGGCCCCCACCUCUGAGUCUGCACACACAAGCACUGCAAGACCUCUGGUGGCCUGCAUAUGGGUGGAGACAACGCCAUGCCUUGACUUCUACAAUGUAAUGGUGUCCACAACUCAGCCCACAGUCAGCCUCAAAUCUGGCACGGCAAUUGCUUUGUUUCUGACCUUUAUUCAAUACAUUUCUAUGUGAAGAACAACUAUUUGAAAGGUUUUUAUUGUGGGAAACUGGGAUAAGCUGCUUUGUUGCCUUGCAGACAUAAGAGUACCCUGGCUGUUAGGAUGUCGGAAUCAGCUUUUCAUCAUUAGCAAGUCCUGCUAUGUCAUUCUCCAAAAGGCUGUCCUCUCAAACCACCAGUAAUGAUUUGAUAGAGUUGAUAAGUUAUUAACAUGAUAUGAUAAAAUCCUUAUUUCCGUCUACAAAUGUCGAAUUUGAUUAACAUAAUGAUAUAAUGAUAGAAACUAUCAUUUCCAAAAUCUGGUAGGGACCUUAUCACACGUAAGCAAAGCUGGUUUUAGUUCUACUUAAAAAACAAUAUGCUUUCUAUGAGAUCUCGAGCCAUUCCUUUACUAUUUGCACUAUUAUCUUCUCUCUGAACGCUUUCUCUUUGGCUGAUGGCCUUUUAGGUCAUGCUAGAUGAGAGAAGGUUAUGCUAGAUGAGAGAAGGUUGGUGCUGACAUACAUAUGCCCCACCCACACUUCUCUAAAUGUCAGUUGUCACUUGCAGUUGCAAAUACUUACCCCUGGUCUUGGAAUAAUGAAAAUAAAGUUUAUUGUCUUAUGUGCUAUAAUUAUUCAAAGAUGAUGCAGCCAUCCAUAUAUUUGUCUGAGAACUGCUCUUGUCAGUAUAAUACUUAGCAGGGUAGAAUUAUAUGUGAAUUCUGUUUAUGAUUCCCUGUCAUAGCCCAAUAAAAAAUAAAACCAAGUGAUGAAAUAAACUGA